GGAGGGAUGCCCGAGAGGCUAAAGGGGACAGACUGUAAAUCUGUUGCGUGAUCGCUACGGUGGUUCGAAUCCAUCUCCCUCCA
rnacentral:tRNA from 1 species